UACGAAGGGGGCUAGCGUUGCUCGGAAUUACUGGGCGUAAAGGGCGCGUAGGCGGAUAGUUUAGUCAGAGGUAAAAGCCCAGGGCUCAACCUUGGAACUGCCUUUGAUACUGGCUAUCUUGAGUUCGGGAGAGGUGAGUGGAAUGCCGAGUGUAGAGGUGAAAUUCGUAGAUAUUCGGCGGAACACCAGUGGCGAAGGCGACUCACUGGCCCGGUACUGACGCUGAGGUGCGAAAGCGUGGGGAGCAAACAGG
rnacentral:rRNA from 1 species